UUCUUCCUGAACAGAAACAUCCCAGCUACUCUUAAUAGUAUCUGAUGGAAGAGGUCUUUUCCUUGAGGGCAAGGAACGUGUGACAGCAGCUGUCCAGUCUGUUCAGAAUGCAAAUAUCUUCAUUAUUUUUGUAGUGUUGGACAACCCCAAUUCAAGGGAUUCCAUCUUGGAUAUAAAAGUACCUGUAUUCAAAGGUCCAGGAGAAUUGCCAGAAAUUAGGUCAUACAUGGAAGAAUUUCCCUUUCCUUUCUACAUCAUUCUCAGAGAUGUGAAUGCUCUUCCAGAGACUCUCAGUGAUGCCCUCAGGCAGUGGUUUGAAUUGGUAACUACCACAGACAGCCUGUAGAGUUUUGCCUGAUCAAAUUGAAUUCAUCACUGAAUAAGCUGCUGUUUUAAUGGACCAGAAAGUGAGCUUUCUUCCUAAGUAUAGGAAACUAUGCAAUCCAUGAUAAACGGGGAAAGAGAGUCAGUUUACUUGUUCCCACUAUCUGGAAACAAUGGAUACCUAUUUGCUCCCUUCAUUGCUAUUCAAAUAAUUUAUUAUAUGGUUUCUUUGAAAUUUUCAUAUUGUUGAGAAAAAUUGUUCCUAAGACUGUUUCUAUUGUAGUAAGAAACUAGUAUUGCUUUAUGAGGAAACUAGUUAGCAAUGUUUAAUCAUAAUAAAAAUACUUGUAUGUUUUAGGUUAACAUGUGUGACACAGCCAAAAAAAUACUACUUGAAUACUUGAAAUUGUUCCUAGUAGUUGCUUAUUGCUAGUGGUCUUAUAAUGCCAGAAGGGUAUUUAUAUGAUACGAAAGUGUCUGCAUUAUCAUUUUACACUGUGAAGUUUGCUCUCUGUCUAAUGCAAAAAUUAGACAAACAUUUUGGUAUCCUACAUUGUGCACAGGACAUUUCCUUCCUGCCCCUUUUUUCCAUUAGAAAAACUAUGCACCGUUUGUGUUUAAUAAUAAAGUUGUUUUGCUGUUUGUAA